rnacentral:misc_RNA from 1 species
ACGUGUUUGAACCGCGAGGUUCUUCAUUCCGAAGCUGUGCGCUUUCGGGCCGCACGCGGAGGAAAGCACUCUUCCACACCUGUGCACAUACACGGUGGGCGGGUCUUAAUUGUCCCCAACCCCGCCGCUUCAUCACACACGUCCAUGUCCGUCAUUGUAUGUUAACGAAAUCUUAUAAACA